rnacentral:rRNA from 1 species
GGACCCGCACAAGCGGUGGAGCAUGUGGUUUAAUUCGAUGCAACGCGAAGAACCUUACCUGGGUCUUGACAUCCUGCGAACUUUCUAGAAAUAGAUUGGUGCCUUCGGGAACGCAGUGACAGGUGCUGCAUGGCUGUCGUCAGCUCGUGUCGUGAGAUGUUGGGUUAAGUCCCGUAACGAGCGCAACCCCUAUCCUUAUUUGCCAGCACAUUAUGGUGGGAACUAUAAGGAGACUGCCGGUGAUAAACCGGAGGAAGGCGGGGACGACGUCAAGUCAUCAUGGCCCUUACGACCAGGGCUACACACGUGCUACAAUGGGAUGGACAAAGAGUCGCGAAGCCGCAAGGUGUAG